rnacentral:tRNA from 1 species
GCCAAUGUGGCGGAGUUGGUAGACGCGCCGGAUUUAGGUUCCGGUGACUUCGGUCGUGAGGGUUCGACCCCCUCCAUUGGCACCA